GACGAACGCUGGCGGCGUGCUUAACACAUGCAAGUCGAACGGAAAGGCUCCAGCUUGCUGGAGUACUCGAGUGGCGAACGGGUGAGUAACACGUGGGUGAUCUGCCCUGCACUUCGGGAUAAGCCUGGGAAACUGGGUCUAACACCGGAUAGGACCGCACUUUGGUGUGUGUGGUGGAAAGGUUUUUCUGGUGUGGGAUGAGCUCGCGGCCUAUCAGUUUGUUGGUGGGGUAAUGGCCUACCAAGACGGCGACGGGUAGCCGGCCUGAGAGGGUGGACGGGCACAUUGGGACUGAGAUACGGCCCAGACUCCUACGGGAGGCAGCAGUGGGGAAUAUUGCACAAUGGGGGAAACCCUGAUGCAGCGACGCCGCGUGGGGGAGGAAGGCCUUCGGGUUGGAAACUCCUUUCGCUAGGGACGAAGCUUUUUGUGACGGUACCUGGAGAAGAAGCACCGGCUAACUACGUG
rnacentral:rRNA from 1 species